ACGAGUUAGGGUUGGCCCCUCGCGGCCGCCCGAACCUCCCAACCCUUGUGUCUACCCAACCCAAUGUAUGUUGCUUCGGCGGGCCGGUUUCCCCGUCACACGGGAGGCCGCCGGGCCCCUUGCGCCUGGAGCGCGCCCGCCGACGGCCCACACCAAAACUCUUGAACCAAAACAGUGUCGUCUGAAUUCAAAAAGUUAAUUAAAAAC
rnacentral:misc_RNA from 1 species